rnacentral:rRNA from 1 species
CGGCAACAGCUCAAAUUUGAAAUCUGGCCCCUAGGGUCCGAGUUGUAAUUUGCAGAGGAUGCUUUUGACAAGGUGCCUUCCGAGUUCCCUGGAACGGGACGCCAUAGAGGGUGAGAGCCCCGUCUGGCUGGCCGCCGAGCCUCUGUAAAGCUCCUUCGAC